rnacentral:ncRNA from 1 species
CAGCCUCUCUCAGGUUCUGCUACGGCCCUCGGAAUUGGCAGAAUCUUUAGCCGACCAUUGCGGUCGGCUUUUUUU